GACGAACGCUGGCGGCGUGCCUAAUACAUGCCAGUUGAGCGCUGAAGGUUGGUACUUGUACCAACUGGAUGAGCAGCGAACGGGUGAGUAACGCGUGGGGAAUCUGCCUUUGAGCGGGGGACAACAUUUGGAAACGAAUGCUAAUACCGCAUAAAAACUUUAAACACAAGUUUUAAGUUUGAAAGAUGCAAUUGCAUCACUCAGAGAUGAUCCCGCGUUGUAUUAGCUAGUUGGUGAGGUAAAGGCUCACCAAGGCGAUGAUACAUAGCCGACCUGAGAGGGUGAUCGGCCACAUUGGGACUGAGACACGGCCCAAACUCCUACGGGAGGCAGCAGUAGGGAAUCUUCGGCAAUGGACGAAAGUCUGACCGAGCAACGCCGCGUGAGUGAAGAAGGUUUUCGGAUCGUAAAACUCUGUUGGUAGAGAAGAACGUUGGUGAGAGUGGAAAGCUCAUCAAGUGACGGUAACUACACAGAAAGGGACGGCUAACUACGUG
rnacentral:rRNA from 1 species